GACGAACGCUGGCGGCGUGCUUAACACAUGCAAGUCGAACGCUGAAGCCCUUUCGGGGGUGGAUGAGUGGCGAACGGGUGAGUAACACGUGGGUAAUCUGCCCUGCACUCUGGGAUAAGCCUUGGAAACGGGGUCUAAUAUCGGAUAGGACACAUCGCCGCAUGGUGUGUGUGUGGAAAGUUCCGGCGGUGCAGGUUGAGCCCGCGGCCUAUCAGCUUGUUGGUGGGGUGAUGGCCUACCAAGGCGACGACGGGUAGCCGGCCUGAGAGGGUGACCGGCAACACUGGGACUGAGACACGGCCCAGACUCCUACGGGAGGCAGCAGUGGGGAAUCUUGCGCAAUGGGCGAAAGCCUGACGCAGCAACGCCGCGUGGGGAUGACGGCCUUCGGGUUGUAAACCUCUUUCGACCGGGACGAAGGGUGACUGACGGUACCGGUAGAAGAAGCACCGGCUAACUACGUGCCAGCCGCCGCGGUAA
rnacentral:rRNA from 1 species